UGGGGAAUAUUGGACAAUGGGCGGAAGCCUGAUCCAGCAACGCCGCGUGAGGGAUGACGGCCUUCGGGUUGUAAACCUCUUUCAGUAUCGACGAAGCGCCCGUGUGGGUGGUGACGGUAGGUACAGAAGAAGCACCGGCCAACUACGUGCCAGCAGCCGCGGUAAUACGUAGGGUGCGAGCGUUGUCCGGAAUUAUUGGGCGUAAAGGGCUCGUAGGCGGUUUGUCGCGUCGGGAGUGAAAACACUGGGCUUAACCGAGUGCUUGCUUCCGAUACGGGCAGACUUGAGGCAUUGAGGGGAGAACGGAAUUCCUGGUGUAGCGGUGAAAUGCGCAGAUAUCAGGAGGAACACCGGUGGCGAAGGCGGUUCUCUGGCAAUGUUCUGACGCUGAGGAGCGAAAGUGUGGGGAGCGAACAGG
rnacentral:rRNA from 1 species